rnacentral:rRNA from 1 species
CUCCUACGGGAGGCAGCAGUGGGGAAUAUUGGGCAAUGGGCGGAAGCCUGACCCAGCCAUGCCGCGUGCAGGAUGAAGGCGCUCAGCGUUGUAAACUGCUUUUAUCUGGGAAGAACGGCAGUCCUGCGGGAUUGUGUGACGGUACCAGAGGAAUAAGCACCGGCUAACUCCGUGCCAGCAGCCGCGGUAAU